rnacentral:rRNA from 1 species
GACGAACGCUGGCGGCGUGCUUAACACAUGCAAGUCGAACGGAAAGGCCCUGCUUUUGUGGGGUGCUCGAGUGGCGAACGGGUGAGUAACGCGUGAGUAACCUGCCCUUGACUUUGGGAUAACUUCAGGAAACUGGGGCUAAUACCGGAUAGGAGCUCCUGCUGCAUGGUGGGGGUUGGAAAGUUUCGGCGGUUGGGGAUGGACUCGCGGCUUAUCAGCUUGUUGGUGGGGUAGUGGCUUACCAAGGCUUUGACGGGUAGCCGGCCUGAGAGGGUGACCGGCCACAUUGGGACUGAGAUACGGCCCAGACUCCUACGGGAGGCAGCAGUGGGGAAUAUUGCACAAUGGGCGGAAGCCUGAUGCAGCAACGCCGCGUGCGGGAUGACGGCCUUCGGGUUGUAAACCGCUUUCGCCUGUGACGAAGCGUGAGUGACGGUAAUGGGUAAAGAAGCACCGGCUAACUACGCG